AAGUGGCUGUAGUUUAGUGGUAAGAAUUCCACGUUGUGGCCGUGGAGACCUGGGCUCGAAUCCCAGCAGCCACACUUCUCAAAUUUUUUCCAUUUUUUUUCAAAUUCAAAAUGAAAUAAAACGACAACGUUUUACAGUUCCGGUGAAUUCCCCUCUGCUUUAUGAAGAAACAACGAGUGUUGUUGUUGUGAAUAGAAAACUCGCUCCUUGAUCCCAAUCUCACGAAAAGAAAAAGAUGAUUGAUGAUGAAGCUUUGGGAUUCAUUGCCAACUCUCUUGGCAUUUUCAUUUUUGCUUUGGUUAUAGCAUAUCAUUUGGUUAUAGCCGAUCCCAAAUAUGAAGCCAAUUAGAUACUAUCAUUAUUUUUUUUGUGUCAUGUAUUCAAGACACAAUUUUGUUGAUCGAUCUGUUUGAUGAGUUUAUUUAUAAAAACAUUUUGUAGCUUAUAACAGCUAAUAAAAUUGGGAGUAUUUGAAAGUUGGUAUUUAACCAUAUUUCAUUGCCAUUGGUUUAUAUUUGAUAUUUCUAAUGUUAGUGUUUAUAUUACAUAGUAGUAUUUAUGGUAGUUAAUGCAUGUUCCUGAAUAUACAUCAUCAAUUAUGCUACAUUUUUCUUCUGUGAAGCAUACUUGUGUCAAAUUAUCUAUGAGGAUUGGUGCUUGUGUGCGGGAGAAGGAGGAAAUUUCAGCUGAUGGGAUGUGAAAAAGUACAUAGUAAGAGACAGAGGAACAAGUGAAAAUGUGUUUAUGGAGUGGUGGUUGAAGAUGCUGGGAAGAAGAAUGGAAAAAUGGUAAGAGGAGGUAAAGUUGGAAUGCCUUGGAAAAAUGGUAUAGGCUUGCAAAAGAUGCGAGCUGCUAGGCUCAAGCUCAUGCUUGAGAAGGUAAGAGCAAAAAAUAAAAUUACGAUGAUGGAUUUCUGUGAGGCCAUAUCUAAGAAAAAUGAAGAGAAAUGUUGCAAAAUAUAUGUAAAUAUGGGAAAUGUGCUUUGAGAUUUUAAUGAGAAGCAACGUGAGAAUGUUUGGUCUUAUACAGAGUAUGGAUGUUGUUGCUAUGAGAUAAAUUAUUGAUUUA